GCCAGAGGAGUGAGAGUAAGAGGAGGAGGACGGGGAGGAUGAGGAUGAGGAAGAGGAAGAGGAAGACCAAGGACCGUAGUCUCUGAUGAGGUCCGAGCCACAGGUCAACAGGGUGCAAUUUGAAGGAAACUCAGAAACAGUCAAAGAAUUGCGAUAUAACUAUGUGCAAGUGAGUCCCGCAAUUGAUGCAUACACUCAACAUUGUGUACAGUAAAUUAUACAUAUUUCAAUAUUGUAAUCAUAAGGACUGUGCUUCACACUAGUGACCACUCCACGUUUAUUUCUGAUAUUGUCAUGUGAGUUUCAGAGAGUCCUUGAGCUUGAGACAGCUGCAGUGGAGCACCAGUUCAUCUUCAUUGAUGAGGUUGGAUUCAACCUCACAAAAAGACGAAAGAGGGGAAGGAAUAUCAUUGGCCAGCGUGCCAUUGUUGAAGUCCCAGGCCAGCGUGGAGGGAACAUCACAAUGUGUGCAGCGCUUGGCUACCAUGGCAUCAUCCAUCACCAUGCUACCCUUGGCCCCUACAACUCUACCCAUCUGAUCACAUUCCUGGACAUCCUACAUAACACACUCAUUCCACCAGAACAGGUAGAUGGUCCAGAACAGCCCAGGUACAUUGUCAUUUGGGACAACGUAAGUUUCCACAGGGCUGCUGUGGUUCGUAACUGGUUCACUGGCCACCCACGCUUUUUAGUUGUUUAUCUCCCUCCAUAUUCUCUAUUCCUCAAUCCCAUUGAGGAAUUUUUCUCUGCAUGGAGAUGGAAGGUGUAUGACUGACAGCCACAAACCCGUAUACCUCUUCUCCAAGCUAUGGAGGACACAUGUGGAGAUAUAGCAGCUGAUUCUUUUCAUGGCUGGAAUCGCCAUGCUAGGAGAUAUUUCCCCCGCUGCUUGGCCAGGGACAACUCUGCUUGUGAUGUGGAUGAGGCGCUGUGGCCAGACCGCAACAGAAGAGAGGAUGCAGCAUAGUUUUCUUUUUUACUGUAACUGUAUGCAGUAAAUUUCUGUUGGAUGUAGUUUAUGUGUGCAACUUUGUGUUGGUUGGGAAUGGGAUAAACUUUGUGUACAAUGUUUUGUGGAAAAAAUAAAAUAAUUUCUACCAUGUAUUUGUGUGUUCAGAGUGUAAAAACAAUAUUCUGAAAUAACAACACAUGCAUGUAUUUACUGUUGUAGGUGUAACACUGAACCAGAAAGGCUUUAGUCAUUAUGAUGAAUGGAGAAGACGUGUUUUCCAUUCAUCAUAGUGUUUAACAUUGAGCACAUGAGUGUUCUGCUGGUUCUUAUAAAUGUCUAUUCAUAUGAUGGUUUGUGUGUGUCAUUUGACAACAAAACCACAUUUUGAGGAGAAAGUACAUUGUUUUGAAUGCAAAGUUUAAUUUUGCAGGUUAAGUGAGGGGGUUUGCCCAUUGUGUGUGUAUUUUUGGAUUUGUGUGUAGAGUUCUGAGAACAUGAGGCAUGCUUUCAGGAAAUGUGUGUAAACAAUUGAGGAAAAACUGUAAUGACUUCAAGCAACUGAUAACUUUCUUCAGUCAAUGGAUUUUAGUGUUUUAGCAACUGAGAAAAACUGUAAAAUAGCAGAAAUUGCUGGUUUUGUUUUUACAGAAAUACACGUGAAACACAACAAGCAUGCCUGACUUUUGUGCUGCCUAUGGAUGCUCUAAUAGACGAUGUCUUCAAUCACAACAACGUGGGAUCAUCUUUCAUUCAUUUCCCAGAGAUGGAGAAAGAAGGAGGCAGUGGGAAGUUGCCCUAAGAAGUGUCUGCGAUCUUCCUCAGAGCUGACGCUCAGUGGCGUCACGAUCAAAACUGUCAGCAAGGAUUUGUUGUGCGGCGAGCCAUUACCAAGCUGUCCUGUGAUGUCUGCCGUGCCAGCCUGGUGAUGGAUGCUGCAUCUGCCUGUGAUGACCAGAGCUUCCAUUUGCUGACUCUGAAGAACAACGGAGGUCUUGUGGUCCCAUCUGAAGGUAUUGUGAGGGUCACCAGAGCAGCAGAGAGGGCAAUUCUCCCGGCAUCAGCGGGCAGACGAUCACAGCCUAUCAAACCACAGGAGGUCAUCUACAUCGUGCGCAAGAGGAUUGGGUCAGAGGAUGUCUUUUUGCUUGGGGAGCACAUCAGUGAGACACAGUACGGAAUUGAGUCUCACUCCCAUGUUGACAUCUAUUGUCUCCCUGUUCUUUAAGCUGAGGAUGCACCACAUAGAGCUCCGGACCCCACGUGACUCUCAGUUAGUAAACGCCAUAUUGGCAGGAAAAAAAGGUAAACAAACAAGGAUCGUAAACAUGAACAUGAACGGGAUCGGCUUGGAUUUUACUUCGUCGGAGUUUACGUCACACUUUAAAACCAAAGAAAUCGUUUUAUAUAGUCAGAAAUUAACCCCUGGGAUACUUUUUAAAAAUGCCAGAAGCUGUCGGAGCGGAGCGGACUUCUUACCGGACCUGGCCGGGGAACCCCUUGGGAUUUCCCCGGAGGAUGCUGGCCCAAGUGGCUGGGGAGAGGGAAGUUUGGGCCUCUCGACGAUACUGCCCCCGUAACCCGACUCUGGAUAAGCGGAUGAAAAUGGAUGGAUGGACAAAUAACAGAUUUACAUGUAAGUAGUUUAAAUAGAGUGCUGUGCUGUUUGAAUGUAUAAACUAAACGCCAAGAGAAAUCACUAGUCUGAUUUUUUUCCGUGAACAAAAUAAAUAUGUCAGGCAGGAGCGUCUCAGGAUCUGUCUGAGAUGUGUCUCGGUGAGACAGAUAAUAGCAAUCCAAAGUGCUUUUUAUGUGUGAUCUGACAAUUGAUCAACCAUUGCUUAAAAAUUAAAUACAGCUUAGCCGGUUAAUUGCUGUGAUCCUAAAACACGUAAACAUUUUACGUGACGUUUACUUGUUGCUAUGAGUAAUAAGACAGAAAAAGCCACGCCAAAAUAAGUUUAGGAAGCCCACUAAGAAUCGUAAUAAAAGCAUUUAAAAUAAACGCCAUACACAGUUGAGGAAACGUUGGUUUAAGUACCUGAUAUGAAGUGGUCGCUGCAUAAGCGAAAACCUUUACUCUUGGGAUCCCACAGCUUUAUUUUAGCCCGGUCACUAGCGCGUUUUAUUACAAUCAUCCAACGUUUGCGGCGCUCCGGAUCUUGGGGAAUCCUGUAGAUGGCUCAUCCCUUAUGUCGUCCGCGUCUGUUCUGCAUCCUGGGGCACAACAGGAAUCUACCAUAUUUCCUGUCUGAUUGAGUUUUCUGACAAUAACAAAUAGCCCAGCUGCCGGCUUCUGCCUGCCAAUAUGGCGCUGUUUCGAUUUGAACUGUUGCAUGCCGGGAGAAGUGACGUCAACUCCCGGAGCUCUAUAGCAAGAUUAGCAACUCUUAGCUUUCAGUCUGACAGCGUGAGACAGAAGCUCACAAAAGCAGUCUUUUUGAAAGGUGACCCACAAUGUGCUUUAGCAUCUGUCUUAGAUCUGUUAUUUUUAUAAUCAAAAGCAUGUAUAAUCUGUAAUAAACAAGUUUUUCAUAACUA